rnacentral:rRNA from 1 species
GAGUUUGAUCCUGGUUCAGGACGAACGCUGGCGGCGUGCUUAACACAUGCAAGUCGAACGGUGAUGAUGGGGCUUGCUCUGUCUGAUCAGUGGCGAACGGGUGAGUAACACGUGAGUAACCUGCCCCUGACUCUGGGAUAACCGUGGGAAACGACGGCUAAUACCGGAUAUGAGACGUCCACGCAUGUGGAGCGUCUGGAAAGAUUUAUUGGUCUGGGAUGGACUCGCGGCCUAUCAGCUUGUUGGUGGGGUAAUGGCCUACCAAGGCGACGACGGGUAGCCGGCCUGAGAGGGCGACCGGCCACACUGGGACUGAGAUACGGCCCAGACUCCUACGGGAGGCAGCAGUGGGGAAUAUUGCACAAUGGGCGAAAGCCUGAUGCAGCGACGCCGCGUGGGGGAUGAAGGCCUUCGGGUUGUAAACCCCUUUCAGCAGGGAAGAAGCGAAAGUGACGGUACCUGCAGAAGAAGCGCCGGCUAACUACGUGCCAGCAGCCGCGGUAAUACGUAUGGCGCAAGCGUUGUCCGGAAUUAUUGGGCGUAAAGAGCUCGUAGGCGGUUUGUCGCGUCUGCUGUGAAAUCCUGAG